GACAAGUCGAGCGGGGAAGGUUGCUUCGGUAACUAACCUAGCGGCGGACGGGUGAGUAAUGCUUAGGAAUCUGCCUAUUAGUGGGGGACAACRUUCCGAAAGGAAYGCUAAUACCGCAUACGCCCUACGGGGGAAAGCAGGGGAUCUUCGGACCUUGCGCUAAUAGAUGAGCCUAAGUCGGAUUAGCUAGUUGGUGGGGUAAAGGCCUACCAAGGCGACGAUCUGUAGCGGGUCUGAGAGGAUGAUCCGCCACACUGGGACUGAGACACGGCCCAGACUCCUACGGGAGGCAGCAGUGGGGAAUAUUGGACAAUGGGCGCAAGCCUGAUCCAGCCAUGCCGCGUGUGUGAAGAAGGCCUUUUGGUUGUAAAGCACUUUAAGCGAGGAGGAGGCUCCUUUAGUUAAUACCUAAAGUGAGUGGACGUUACUCGCAGAAUAAGCACCGGCUAACUCUGUGCCAGCAGCCGCGGUAAUACAGAGGGUGCGAGCGUUAAUCGGAUUUACUGGGCGUAAAGCGUGCGUAGGCGGCUUUUUAAGUCGGAUGUGAAAUCCCUGAGCUUAACUUAGGAAUUGCAUUCGAUACUGGAAAGCUAGAGUAUGGGAGAGGAUGGUAGAAUUCCAGGUGUAGCGGUGAAAUGCGUAGAGAUCUGGAGGAAUACCGAUGGCGAAGGCAGCCAUCUGGCCUAAUACUGACGCUGAGGUACGAAAGCAUGGGGAGCAAACAGGAUUAGAUACCCUGGUAGUCCAUGCCGUAAACGAUGUCUACUAGCCGUUGGGGCCUUUGAGGCUUUAGUGGCGCAGCUAACGCGAUAAGUAGACCGCCUGGGGAGUACGGUCGCAAGACUAAAACUCAAAUGAAUUGACCGGGGCCCGCACAAGCCGUGGAGCRUGUG
rnacentral:rRNA from 1 species